rnacentral:rRNA from 1 species
CAGCACCUCAAGUGGUCAGGAUGAUUAUUGGGCCUAAAGCAUCCGUAGCCGGCGCUGUAAGUUUUCGGUUAAAUCUGUACGCUCAACGUACAGGCUGCCGGGAAUACUGCAGCGCUAGGGAGUGGGAGAGGUAGACGGUACUCGGUAGGAAGGGGUAAAAUCCUUUGAUCUAUUGAUGACCACCUGUGGCGAAGGCGGUCUACCAGAACACGUCCGACGGUGAGGGUUGAAAGCUGGGGGAGCAAACCGGAUUAGAUACCCGAGUAGUCC